rnacentral:rRNA from 1 species
UACGGAGGGUGCAAACGUUGCUCGGAAUCAUUGGGCGUAAAGCGCACGUAGGCGGUCCAGCAAGUCGGGUGUGAAAGCCCUCGGCUUAACCGAGGAAGUGCAUUCGAAACUACUGGGCUUGAGUACUGAAGAGGAUCGCGGAAUUCCCGGUGUAGAGGUGAAAUUCGUAGAUAUCGGGAGGAACACCAGUGGCGAAGGCGGCGAUCUGGGCAGAUACUGACGCUGGAGGUGACGAAAGCGGUGGGGAGCAAACAGG